AAAUUUUGAUAAGCGAUAGGAGCUAUAGCACUCAUGCUCUUCCCUUUUUCUUCAUUAACGCAGUGUUGGAAUAAAGUUUUAAAAUAAAGGGAUAUCAUGUUGAAUUAUUUAUUCGGAUGUUUGGUCUGUCAAAUUUGUUUGAAACAAAAAAAGAAAAACUACGCGAUUUUCAUAUGAUCACGAUAAAUCUGAAUCAAUUGGAAGGCGAAUUCAUAAAUCACGGAAUGUAUUACUGCAAAGAGCGUGUAAUGAUUGAAG